rnacentral:sRNA from 1 species
UUGCAGCCUGCAUCUAUGUAUUGCGCUGC